GAGAGAACUGAGCAGCACGGGCGAGAGGGAGAAGUGAGAAUGGCCAGGACGGGUAAGAGUUGUUGUGCCUUCAAGGAACACAGAGAGAGUCGCUUAAAGGAAAAGGAAACAGGUUUUUCAGGCCUCCUGACUUUAGAUGAAGGAAGAUAAAUAAACAGGACAGGUUUCAGCCGUGAAGACUCCGACGCCAACAACGAUAAAAGAGUCUAAAGAAUGUAUGAGCCGUAAUCAGAUUUUUCAAGCUGCAUAAUUUUGUUUUUCCUAUCAAGUCCUAUGUGUACGUCAACGAUAGAAAUACAUAGAACUGUGCUGGUUCAAGAAUAUGAGACAGGACAUUGUACAGAAUUUGGUGACAUCUCUACAUUGAUUUUCACCCUCUGAAGGUUUCAUGACCCUCAAAUCUCGUGAACCUCAGCAGGUGGGUGGUUAACGGAACCCAUAAUGCAGCUGACUGGUUCAUUAACAGCUGGAUGUGGAUUCCGUUUCCCGCCUUUCCCGCAAUAAGGUGACGUUUCUACAGUCUCAAUUCUACAUUCUCUGUGUUUGAAAGUAGCUGAGAUGAGAAACUGGGUUCAAAUGGCUUUAAAGGAAGCAUCAAUACGUGUUCUGUGAGGAAAAAUUGUAUUACAGUAUGUUUGAUACAGAUUAUAAUAGACUUAAUAAUGAAAUUAGUGCUUUGUUUUUUUUUUAUGUUUUAGUUUAGUUGAGUAUUGCACAGCAUAAAAAAAAAGAUCAAUUACUGUACCUUUAAGUCGAUUUGGUGCUGUUCAUUCAUUUCACACUUUUAAGGGGAGAAAUUGUAUUGAUGUCGCUGCAGAAUGACACGUUUUCUCCCGGAUUGCCAGAUAUACUAACCGCCACCGGGAACUUCGUGUCAGCCAGCAGUGACAUCCAAAUCUGUCAAUCAAACCUCCACGAGCCGGAUUAUCAAAAUCACUCUCUGGGCGUUUUUUCAACUCAAGUCGAGUCUAAAAAAAACCCCAGAAUAAUCAAAUGUCUGAAUUAUUAUAGUUAUGUUGUUCAAUAAACAAUGUAGAACCAAUGUAAAGUAUCUCCCUUUGUCUUUUAUGCCUCACUCACACACACAC
ensembl:lncRNA